UUCAGAGAGCCUAGAAAAUAUCACCUAGUGAAUAUCUACUUCCAUGAGCACUUCAUAUUUGAAUCAUCUAAUAACAUUGUCAUCAUUGCAUAUUCUCCUGGAAGUAACACACAAUACAGACUUCAAAAAACCAGAGCUUUUGCUGGGGAUAUAUGCUCCUUCCAAAGGCGAUUGAUUGUGUGCAAUAUUCUGAGAAGUAAUUCCUCCAAAGGUGGAUAUUGAGGGAGAAACAGAAAAAUCCAAGACAAUCCCUUGUGGAAGAAAAUUCUCCAACCCAAAACUCAACCGAACUCAAAGGGCUGAACAGCGCGUCAAUUAAGACCUGUCAAAUAUAAUCACACGAUCUAAUAGUUUUAAAUACGCAAAAUAAAGAGCACCAAAGUAAAUGUCAUUCAGAAAUAACAACAACAAAACCAGAGCACCCCGAUGCAUUUAGGCCUCAAGGAAUUC
rnacentral:lncRNA from 1 species